UACAGAGGUCCCAAGCGUUGUUCGGAUUCACUGGGCGUAAAGGGUGCGUAGGUGGUGGGGUAAGUCUGAUGUGAAAUCUCCGAGCUCAACUCGGAAACUGCAUUGGAAACUACCCUGCUAGAGGGUCGGAGGGGGGACUGGAAUACUUGGUGUAGCAGUGAAAUGCGUAGAUAUCAAGUGGAACACCAGUGGCGAAGGCGAGUCCCUGGACGACUCCUGACACUGAGGCACGAAAGCUAGGGGAGCAAACAGG
rnacentral:rRNA from 1 species